GAUGAACGCUGGCGGCGUGCCUAAUACAUGCAAGUCGAGCGAACAGACGAGGAGCUUGCUCCUCUGUCGUUAGCGGCGGACGGGUGAGUAACACGUGGAUAACCUACCUAUAAGACUGGGAUAACUUCGGGAAACCGGAGCUAAUACCGGAUAAUAUAUUGAACCGCAUGGUUCAAUAGUGAAAGACGGUUUUGCUGUCACUUAUAGAUUGAUCCGCGCCGCAUUAGCUAGUUGGUAAGGUAACGGCUUACCAAGGCAACGAUGCGUAGCCGACCUGAGAGGGUGAUCGGCCACACUGGAACUGAGACACGGUCCAGACUCCUACGGGAGGCAGCAGUAGGGAAUCUUCCGCAAUGGGCGAAAGCCUGACGGAGCAACGCCGCGUGAGUGAUGAAGGUCUUCGGAUCGUAAAACUCUGUUAUUAGGGAAGAACAAAUGUGUAAGUAACUAUGCACGUCUUGACGGUACCUAAUCAGAAAGCCACGGCUAACUACGUG
rnacentral:rRNA from 1 species